CAAGCGCCACAUGAUAGCUAUUUCAAAUUAGAUAUGGACAUCUCAGGUGUGGAAGGAGCUUCUAUACUAUGAGUUUAGAUUUGCUGUCCACCUAAUGAAUGGUUGACACAUUAUUUUAAAUUAAUAUAUCCAACAUUUUUCUCAUUACUACUUGUGCUUAAAAUUAGGUGACAUUUUAAUAUAAAAUGAUGUGUUAAUCAUUCAUUCGUGGAUAACAAAAUUCAGAUAAUUGAUCUCAACUCCAUACCACGGGUGCUGUCAUUGGGGACAAGUUUGAGGGUGGUUGGGGCGAUUGCAAGCAAAGAAAGUUAUUGGACACACAUAGCUGAAGAUGCUAAAGCAUAGAAAGUUUGGGAUUGCUAUGAUUUUGGCCAGGAAACGUGGCUAUCAAAUUGCUGCUAUGGAAUGUGACUUGUAAGGGUAGUGCAUAGAAACAAAAUUUAUGUAAAUCUUUUUAUUCACUCUAGCAAUCAUGAUAUUUUUUUCCUAGGUUUGUAAUCUUUGUGACUGUAC
rnacentral:lncRNA from 1 species